GUCCCUGCCGGUCGGUCCGCCUUCUUGGUGUGUACUUACUCGGCGGGGACUUACCUCCUGGUGAGCUGCCAUGUCCUUUACUGGGUGUGGUAGGGAACCAGGACAUUUACUUUGAAAAAAUUAGAGUGUUUAAAGCAGGCUCACGCUUGAAUACAUUAGCAUGGAAUAAUAGAAUAGGAC
rnacentral:rRNA from 1 species